rnacentral:rRNA from 1 species
GAUGAACGCUAGCUACAGGCUUAACACAUGCAAGUCGAGGGGAAACGGCAUCGAAAGCUUGCUUUUGAUGGGCGUCGACCGGCGCACGGGUGAGUAACGCGUCUCCUACCUGCCCAUCACUUGGGAAUAACCUUGCGAAAGUAAGACUAAUGCCCAAUGACAUCCCACGAAGGCAUCCGAAUGGGAUUAAAGAUUUAUCGGUGAUGGAUGGGGAUGCGUCUGAUUAGCUUGUUGGCGGGGUGCCGGCCCACCAAGGCAACGAUCAGUAGUGGUUAUGAGAGGAAGGUCCCCCACAUUGGAACUGGGACACGGUGCAAACGAGUAAGGGAGGAAGCAGUGAGGAGUAUUGGUAAAGGGGAGAGAGCCGGAACCAGCCAAGUAGCGUGCAGGAUGCCGGGCCUAGGGGUUGUAAACUGCUUGGAUGAGGGAAUAAAGUGGGUCACGUGUGACUUUUUGCAUGUACCUUAUGAAUAAGGAACGGCUAAUUCCGUG